ensembl:ncRNA C54D2.17 ncRNA
CUUGUAAAUGAGAGUUUUAACCACUAUUGAUUAUUUUUGAUUGUUUCAAAUUUUCAGUGCUUCGCCAAGACCUGAAAAAUACUCUUAGAAUGUUAAGCGGAUUGAAUCAAAAAUUCAAGUUAAAAUGCGAAAUGUAAGUUGGUCUUAUUUCGCCUUUCGAACUAGUCUGAAAGAAAUAAAAACACCUAACUGUGAAGUUUUUAAUACAAAACACAAAAAUUU